rnacentral:rRNA from 1 species
GGGAUCGAAGAUGAUUAGAUACCAUCGUAGUCCAUACCGUAAACGAUGCCGACUCGCGAUCGUUUCCCGGCUCUUGAAGCGGGAGGCGGCAGCGCAUGAGAAAUCAAAGUCUUUGGGUUCCGGGGGGAGUAUGGUCGCAAGGCUGAAACUUAAAGGACUUGACGGAAGGGCACCACCAGGAGUGGAGCCUGCGGCUUAAUUUGACUCAACACGGGGAAACUUACCAGGUCCAGACAUAGGAAGGAUUGACAGAUUGAGAGCUCUUGCUGGAUGCUAUGGGAGGUGGUGCAUGGCCGUUCUUAGUUGGUGGAGUGAUUUGUCUGGUUGAUUCCGUUAACGAACGAGACCACAGCCUACUAAAUAGUGCACGUUGUGGCGACACAGCGUUUUUGGUACUUCUUAGAGGGACACUUUGGGUUUACCGGAAGGAAGUUCGAG